UUAUUAUGAAGAGUUUGAUCCUGGCUCAGGAUUAACGCUGGCGGUGUGUCUAAUACAUGCAAGUCGAGCGACCCGCAAGGGGAGCGGCGGACGGGUGCGUAACACGUUGGAACGCGCCUCAUACUCAGGGAUAGCUCCGCGAAAGCGGAAUUAAUACCGGAUGGUCCCGCAAGGGUAAAGCUACGGCGGUAUGAGAGCGGCCUGCGGCCUAUCAGCUAGUUGGUGAGGUAAUGGCUCACCAAGGCUAUGACGGGUAGCUGGUCUGAGAGGAUGAUCAGCCACAAUGGGACUGAGACAAGGCCCAUACUCCUACGGGAGGCAGCAGUAGGGAAUCUUUCGCAAUGGGCGCAAGCCUGACGAAGCAACACCGCGUGAUCGAUGAAGUUCUUUUGAAUGUAAAGAUCUUUUCUGGGGGAAGAAUUAUGACGGUACCCUAGGAAUAAGCACCGGCUAACUCCGUGCCAGCAGCCGCGGUAAUACGGGGGGUGCAAGCGUUAUCCGAAAUCAUUGGGCGUAAAGCGUCUGUAGGUGGUUAAUUAAGUCGAGUGUUAAAUCUUCUGGCUCAACCAGAAAACAAUGCCCGAAACUGAUUUUCUUGAGUCCUUGAGAGGUAUGCGGAAUUCUGCAUGUAGGGAUAAAAUCCGUAGAUAUGCAGAGGAACACCAAAAGCGAAGGCAGCAUACUGGCAAGGUACUGACACUUAGAGACGAAAGCGUGGGGAGCAAACGGGAUUAGAUACCCCGGUAGUCCACGCUGUAAACUAUGGGUGCUAGGUGUUUGAAGGGACUCGGUUCCCUUUGAGUGCCGACGCUAACGCAUUAAGCACCCCGCCUGAGGAGUACGGCCGCAAGGCUAAAACUCAAAGGAAUAGACGGGGGCCCACACAAGCGGUGGAGCAUGUGGUUCAAUUCGACAGUAAACGCGGAACCUUACCCAGGCUUGACAUCCCAAGAACCCUGCAGAAAUGUAGGGGUGCCGCAAGGAACUUGGUGACAGGUGCUGCAUGGUUGUCGUCAGCUCGUGCCUUGAGGUGUUCGGUUAAGUCCGUAAACGAGCGCAACCCCUGUUGUAUGUUGUAUUUUUCAUACAAGACUGCCUAGUUUAACUAGGAGGAAGGUAGGGAUGACGUCAAAUCAGCAUGGCCCUUAUGCUUGGGGCGACACACGUGCUACAAUGGCCAGUACAGAGGGUAGCAAUAUGGUAACAUGGAGCCAAUCCCUAAAACUGGUCAAAGUUCGGAUUGAGGGCUGCAACUCGCCCUCAUGAAGCUGGAAUCGCUAGUAACCGUAAGUCAGCCAUAUUACGGUGAAUCCGUUCCUGGGCCUUGUACUCACCGCCCGUCAAGUCAUGAAAGGUGGAAGCACCCGAAGCCCCCGCAAUUUGCGGGGUCCACGGUGAAAUCACUGAUUGGGACUAAGUCGUAACAAGGUAUCUGUAGGAGAACCUGCGGAUGGAACAUUCCCUUAUA
rnacentral:rRNA from 3 species